rnacentral:tRNA from 1 species
GCCGGUGUAGCUCAGUGGUUAGAGCAACGGCUUCAUAAGCCGGAGGUCGGAGGUUCGAAUCCUCCCAUCGGCACCC